rnacentral:misc_RNA from 1 species
GUAUUUAUUUUUGGUUUUCCUUUGAAAGAAGGGAGCCAAAAGAUUUGAGAUGUCUCCCCUUUUGGGCGAGUAUCUUUAAACUUAUAGCCUCUUUUGUGGUAAAACAGCUCUGCAGAACAGUAUUUGAAUGGAACUCUGGUUUCUCAUAAUGCCUAAUAUGCAGACUUACCUAUUGAAAAGGGGGUCCAUAACUCAAAGGCCUAUCCAAAUAAACUCGGAUAGACCUUGAA